UGGCCUACGGGGGGCAGCAGUGGGGAAUAUUGGGCAAUGGGCGCAAGCCUGACCCAGCAACGCCGCGUGAAGGAAGAAGGCUUUCGGGUUGUAAACUUCUUUUCUCAGGGACGAAGAAAGUGACGGUACCUGAGGAAUAAGCCACGGCUAACUACGUGCCAGCAGCCGCGGUAAUACGUAGGUGGCAAGCGUUAUCCGGAUUUAUUGGGUGUAAAGGGCGUGCAGCCGGAGAGACAAGU
rnacentral:rRNA from 1 species